rnacentral:rRNA from 1 species
AGCGAACGCUGGCGGCAGGCCUAACACAUGCAAGUCGAACGAAGUCUUCGGAAUUAGUGGCGGACGGGUGAGUAACACGUGGGAACGUACCUUUUGGUUCGGAACAACUCAGGGAAACUUGAGCUAAUACCGGAUGAGCCCUUAGGGGGAAAGAUUUAUCGCCGAAGGAGCGGCCCGCGUUAGAUUAGCUAGUUGGUGAGGUAAAGGCUCACCAAGGCUACGAUCUAUAGCUGGUCUGAGAGGAUGAUCAGCCACACUGGGACUGAGACACGGCCCAGACUCCUACGGGAGGCAGCAGUGGGGAAUCUUGCGCAAUGGGCGAAAGCCUGACGCAGCCAUGCCGCGUGAAUGAUGAAGGUCUUAGGAUUGUAAAAUUCUUUUACCAGGGACGAUAAUGACGGUACCAACAGAAGAAGCCCCGGCUAACUCCGUGCCAGCAGCCGCCGUAACAC